GAUGAACGCUGGCGGCGUGCCUAAUACAUGCAAGUCGAGCGAAUGGAUUAAGAGCUUGCUCUUAUGAAGUUAGCGGCGGACGGGUGAGUAACACGUGGGUAACCUGCCCAUAAGACUGGGAUAACUCCGGGAAACCGGGGCUAAUACCGGAUAAUAUUUUGAACUGCAUGGUUCAAAAUUGAAAGGCGGCUUCGGCUGUCACUUAUGGAUGGACCCGCGUCGCAUUAGCUAGUUGGUGAGGUAACGGCUCACCAAGGCAACGAUGCGUAGCCGACCUGAGAGGGUGAUCGGCCACACUGGGACUGAGACGAGGCCCAGACUCCUACGGGAGGCAGCAGUAGGGAAUCUUCCGCAAUGGACGAAAGUCUGACGGAGCAACGCCGCGUGAGUGAUGAAGGCUUUCGGGUCGUAAAACUCUGUUGUUAGGGAAGAACAAGUGCUAGUUGAAUAAGCUGGCACCUUGACGGUACCUAACCAGAAAGCCACGGCUAACUACGUGCCAGCCGCCGCGGUAA
rnacentral:rRNA from 1 species